GGGUUGUGAGGUUAAGCGAAUAAGCGUACACGGUGGAUGCCUAGGCAGUCAGAGGCGAUGAAGGACGUGCUAAUCUGCGAUAAGCGCCGGUAAGGUGAUAUGAACCGUUAUAACCGGCGAUUUCCGAAUGGGGAAACCCAGUGCAAUUCGUUGCACUAUCAUUACCUGAAUACAUAGGGUAAUGAAGCGAACCGGGAGAACUGAAACAUCUAAGUACCCCGAGGAAAAGAAAUCAAACGAGAUUCCCCCAGUAGCGGCGAGCGAACGGGGAGCAGCCCAGGACCUUAAUCAGCAUCAGUGUUAAGAGAACAGUCUGGAAAGGCUGGCCACAGCAGGUGAUAGCCCUGUAUCUGAAAGCACUGGUGUUGUGAGUCCGAUGAGUAAGGCGGGACACGUGUUAUCCUGUCUGAAUACGGGGGGACCAUCCUCCAAGGCUAAAUACUCCUGACUGACCGAUAGUGAACCAGUACCGUGAGGGAAAGGCGAAAAGAACCCCGGCGAGGGGAGUGAAAAAGAACCUGAAACCGUGUACGUACAAGCAGUGGGAGCACCCUUCGGGGUGUGACUGCGUACCUUUUGUAUAAUGGGUCAGCGACUUAUAUUCUGUAGCAAGGUUAACCGAAUAGGGGAGCCGCAGGGAAACCGAGUCUUAACUGGGCGAAUUAGUUGCAGGGUAUAGACCCGAAACCCGGUGAUCUAGCCAUGGGCAGGUUGAAGGUUGGGUAACACUAACUGGAGGACCGAACCGACUAAUGUUGAAAAAUUAGCGGAUGACUUGUGGCUGGGGGUGAAAGGCCAAUCAAACCGGGAGAUAGCUGGUUCUCCCCGAAAGCUAUUUAGGUAGCGCCUCGUGAAUUCAUCUCCGGGGGUAGAGCACUGUUUCGGCUAGGGGGUCAUCCCGACUUACCAACCCGAUGCAAACUGCGAAUACCGGAGAAUGUUAUCACGGGAGACACACGGCGGGUGCUAACGUUCGUCGUGAAGAGGGAAACAACCCAGACCGCCGGCUAAGGUCCCAAAGUCAUAAUUAAGUGGGAAACGAAGUGGGAAGGCUCAGACAGCCAGGAUGUUGGCUUAGAAGCAGCCAUCAUUUAAAGAAAGCGUAAUAGCUCACUGGUCGAGUCGGCCUGCGCGGAAGAUGUAACGGGGCUAAAUUAUGCACCGAAGCCGCGGCAGCGAUAUGUAAAUAUUGUUGGGUAGGGGAGCGUUCUGUAAGCCUGUGAAGGUGGCCUGUGAGGGCUGCUGGAGGUAUCAGAAGUGCGAAUGCUGACAUAAGUAACGAUAAUGCGGGUGAAAAACCCGCACGCCGGAAGACCAAGGGUUCCUGUCCAACGUUAAUCGGGGCAGGGUGAGUCGACCCCUAAGGCGAGGCUGAAAAGCGUAGUCGAUGGGCAACGGGUUAAUAUUCCCGUACUGGUGGUAACUGCGAAGGGGGGACGGAGAAAGCUAAAUCAUCCGGGCGACGGUUGUCCCGGUUUAAGCGUGCAGGUGGACUGACCAGGCAAAUCCGGUCGGUUGUUAACACUGAGGCGUGACGACGAGCCACUACGGUGGUGAAGUGAUUGAUGCUCUGCUUCCGGGAAAAGCCUCUAAGCUCCAGGUUACCAUUAAUCGUACCCCAAACCGACACAGGUGGUCAGGUAGAGAAUACUCAGGCGCUUGAGAGAACUCGGGUGAAGGAACUAGGCAAAAUGGUGCCGUAACUUCGGGAGAAGGCACGCUGGCAUUAGGUGAAGUGGUUUACCCACGGAGCUGAAGCCAGCCGCAGAUACCAGCUGGCUGCAACUGUUUAUUAAAAACACAGCACUGUGCAAACACGAAAGUGGACGUAUACGGUGUGACGCCUGCCCGGUGCCGGAAGGUUAAUUGAUGAGGUUAGCGUAAGCGAAGCUUCUGAUCGAAGCCCCGGUAAACGGCGGCCGUAACUAUAACGGUCCUAAGGUAGCGAAAUUCCUUGUCGGGUAAGUUCCGACCUGCACGAAUGGCGUAAUGAUGGCCAGGCUGUCUCCACCCGAGACUCAGUGAAAUUGAACUCGCUGUGAAGAUGCAGUGUACCCGCGGCAAGACGGAAAGACCCCGUGAACCUUUACUAUAGCUUGACACUGAACAUUGAGCCUUGAUGUGUAGGAUAGGUGGGAGGCAACGAAGUGUGGACGCCAGUCUGCACGGAGCCAUCCUUGAAAUACCACCCUUUAACGUUUGAUGUUCUAACCCGGGUCCAUAAUCUGGAUCGGGGACCGUGUCUGGUGGGUAGUUUGACUGGGGCGGUCUCCUCCCAAAGAGUAACGGAGGAGCACGAAGGUUGGCUAAGCAUGGUCGGACAUCAUGCGGUUAGUGCAAAGGCAUAAGCCAGCUUGACUGCGAGAGUGACGGCUCGAGCAGGUACGAAAGUAGGUCUUAGUGAUCCGGUGGUUCUGAAUGGAAGGGCCAUCGCUCAACGGAUAAAAGGUACUCCGGGGAUAACAGGCUGAUACCGCCCAAGAGUUCAUAUCGACGGCGGUGUUUGGCACCUCGAUGUCGGCUCAUCACAUCCUGGGGCUGAAGUAGGUCCCAAGGGUAUGGCUGUUCGCCAUUUAAAGUGGUACGCGAGCUGGGUUUAGAACGUCGUGAGACAGUUCGGUCCCUAUCUGCCGUGGGCGCUGGAAGAUUGAGAGGGGUUGCUCCUAGUACGAGAGGACCGGAGUGAACGCACCACUGGUGUACGGGUUGUGAUGCCAAUUGCAUUGCCCGGUAGCUAAGUGCGGAAGAGAUAACCGCUGAAAGCAUCUAAGCGGGAAACUUGCCUCGAGAUGAGUCUUCCCUGACCCUUUAAGGGUCCUGAAGGAACGUUUGAGACUAAGACGUUGAUAGGCUGGGUGUGUAAGCGCAGCGAUGCGUUGAGCUGACCAGUACUAAUGAACCGUGAGGCUUAACCUGACAACACCGAAGGUGUUU
rnacentral:rRNA from 1 species